rnacentral:rRNA from 1 species
UACGAAGGGGGCUAGCGUUGUUCGGAAUUACUGGGCGUAAAGGGCGCGUAGGCGGACAUUUAAGUUAGAGGUGAAAGCCCAGGGCUCAACCCUGGAAUAGCCUUUAAUACUGGAUGUCUUGAGUUCGGGAGAGGUGAGUGGAAUGCCGAGUGUAGAGGUGAAAUUCGUAGAUAUUCGGCGGAACACCAGUGGCGAAGGCGACUCACUGGCCCGAUACUGACGCUGAGGCGCGAAAGCGUGGGGAGCAAACAGG